ACCGCCGUUAUUGGGUGUGCAUGCGGGGCCACGGCCGGUUUUUUGGGGCCAAGGCUGGCUGUAGCUCUGGGGAUGCUUUUUUUUCCGGUUAAACUUCGGGUUUUAUCUUUGGAAAAAUUGCGUUUUUGGCUGAUCUUAAAAAAAAAAGAAAGAUAAUAAUUAGAAGGAGGUAUAAUUGCGUACGUGCAAAGAUGUGCAUGUGUUCGCAUUUGCGUAUUAAUUGCUGCUGUGUGCUGUCUGGAUUGUAGUGCAUAAAUCAAGUAGUACACACUACAUAAAUGUAUUAAUUCAAAUGGUGUUAUGCACACAGGAACACAUGGAGUUCACCCCAUGUGUACCGCACAGAGGUUGGAAUCCAGCUUUAACUCAAAGGUCUGAAAUAGGCAAGAUCUGUUUUUUGGAUGGAAGACAGAUUCCUUACAUGAACCAGGAUUGCUGCAAGACAUACAGCAAGAAAUGUUGAUCCUUGAGGCACAUGAAUGUGCCCAGCAAGAACUUCAUCAGUCUUAAUGGUUUCUGAAUACUGGAUCUAGGCUCUGUAAUGGAUAGACUCACUCACUGGAGCAUGAAAAAAAGGUGCAAAAGCCUUAGAGUGAACUGAAUUUGCAUGUUUUGGCUACUCGGCGUGACCGGCAUUUCAUGCCCCUGGUGGCUCCUCCAGGUCUUCCUAGAGGGGAGUUUUCAUCAGUUUCUGCCACUAGGUGUCCCUGUAUGUGUGCGGGAAAAUCCUGAUGGAGACAUUAAUUGAAGGAGGAGUAGAAAUUGAGCAGGAGGAGUAGAAAAGAUGAUAGUAAACUUCCUUCAUGAUUUCGAGUUCUGUUUGAUAACUGUCUUGCAUGUUACUGAAGAGAAAAUAUGAGUGGAUUCAUGAUUGUGCAAUUAUAUUUCAGAACAAACUUUUUUAAAAAGAAAAAUGGAAAAUAAUGGAUAAGGCUCUUAGAUAUUAUAUAGUCUUUUUGAUAUUAUGUAGCCUUUUUGAUACUAUGUAUUUAUAUUGAUAUUAUAUAUAUAUAUAUAAAUCAGGAAAAGUUUUCUGAAAACAUUUCAGUCUGGUUUAUGUUUGGUAAAUUUAUUAUAAUUUAAAAAUUAUUCAUACCAUUUGGUAUAAAAAAAGGAUUUUCAUGUAGUAAACACAAUUAAUUAUGUAUGUCAAGAGUGAUGAAAAAACGUGUACUGUGAUUAGCUUCUCUAGAACAUCUUGAUAAAUGGGGUGUUUCAAGAAUUAAGAGCCUUUGAUGGAUUGUACAACCCUCUAACCCUUACAAUUAAUGUUUAAAUAGAUCACUAGUAAUGGAAAAGAAUGUGGUUUAGACCCCAAUUCUUUUCAUAAUCAAGUGGCUAUUAAAUGUUAUGCAAACAUUUUUCCAGUAGGACCAUUGUUUAAUCAAAGUCAGAAGCUUUUAUGACAUGAAAGCUUUUAAAAUUAUUAUUAUUAUUAUUAUUAUUAUUAUUAUUACAUGAUAAUAAUAAUAAUAAAAAACCCAAUAAAAGUAAGAACUAAAAGAGAUGUUUUCUUUCAGCAAUAAUAAAUAGGAUACUUGAACAGACACCUCAGAGUAUUAAAUAAUCAUUUUCUCUGUCAUCAAAAGGCUGCAUGUACAAUGAGAGCAGGAUUAUACUGAUAUUGUCCAGAAAACAGGGUUGUUGAGUAGUGUGUUCUCUUUUUCAAAAUACAGACCUUUACUUAAAAGACAAGCAAGCAAACAAACAAGCUUUCAUCCUUCUCAAUACCAUUCAAAACAUUACUAGAGAAAAGCUACUUUUCUGAACCCAUAAUUCCGAGUUUAAUUCUCUUGAACUUGUAGAGAACAAUAGCUCUUUUUUGGAGAUGUCAGCACUGUUAAACACUUUACUUCUGGACUUCUGUAUCACACAUAGUCUAAGAAUUCGGAAUUAUGGAAAGAGGUUUUAUUUUAAAGGUAUUUACUGUCAGCAUACUUUUGUGUGAAUGUCUCUACUGGUUUUAAGGGAGUGAUGGUUUGAGCUCAUAGUCUUCUAAUGCAAGAGUGAGAGUGUUGCAAGUCCACUGCACUGAAAACUUGUGCAUUGGUGAAUACAUUAAUUAAUCAUUAUUCCUCAUUAACCUUGUGUACUUCAGCACCAAUACAGUAAUCUGGUAUUUGUUUUGGAUUUCCACUUGUCUAUUUUAAAUUAAGUUAAAUUUAAGCAUAUCUCCUCAGUUCACAAGACUGAGUUUUCACAGACCAAAAAAGCUAUGAGACAAAUUUAUUAAAAAAAUUAAAAGCUGUGUUUAAAGAUACUGUGGGGGGUUUCCAUAGUCUUCAUACCACAGGCUGGGAUUAGGCUACUACGAGUAUCUAUUGCUUACAAUGUUUUUACUGUAGGCAAUGGAAGGAGAAGAACUGGUGCUUUAUCAAUCAAUGUGAAGAAAUACAUGAGAUUUGUUAGCAAGGGAUAUUAAACAUUAUUAUGGGCAAGUGGAAAACACAAAUAAGAGUCUGUGUUUUAUAAUCACUAAAAUAACUGAGUAAUACAAGUGUUUUAUUAGUUUCCCAGUGAAGCUAUGGGUUUCAGUGAAAAAUGGUAGUGAUAUAUGUCAUAAAACUUCUAUAUUGUGUAUAGUCCAUACAUAAAGCAUAAAGAUAUCUUGCAAGACACUAAAGAUACAUUAUAUUGAAUAAAAAGAAAACAAAGUUGUCAUAACUAUAUGAUAUACCUUAGUUAAGAAUAUCGAAAUGCCCUGCGAGCAUUGUUUAUAUGAUGCAAGCUAUACAAGUUAUAAUACACCAAGAACCUUCUCACACCUUUUGGUAAAGAUCAGUGUAGAGUUAGAAUCUUCAGAGGAAAAAAUUCUGAAGAGCAGUUUAUCUCUGCAUAGAGAAGGUGUGAAAGUUAUGUCUUAAUGUAAUCUCAGCUCUAGAUUUCUAUACAUAUCCCUGUGGAAUGUAAACAUCCUACAGAGCUUAAGUAGAAAGCCACAUGGGGUUUUACUAUGUUUGUUUCUCUUAUGCUGGUACCCAGCAGCUGCAAAUGGCAUUCUCCACUAGACAUAUCUGAUCAGGUAGCAUCAAUCCACAGUGCUGUUCUAUAACCUGUGACUUAGAGAAAAUAAUUUGGAGUGAGAAUGUCAGUCUUAUUGACAUCCAGUGGUAACUGAAUAGUGGGAAAUUACUUAACUGUACUUGGGUGCCUGUAAAUUUGAGGUCACAGUAGAGAAAGCAGAUCAAAGAGAGUUGAAAGGGAAUAUUAUCCCCAGUCUUUAUUUCAGGAAUGGAAGGAAAAUUAGAUCUGUUAACUGAAAUGUUGCAUAUGGAAUGUCUAAUACCUUAUUAAAUUUAUUAAUUUCUCAGAGCUCCCUUUCCUAUAUCUCAUCCAGAAUAUGAAUCAGACUCCUAAUAUAAGAAAAUGUUGGAAAUAUUUUGUCCUUUUAUGUCUUCCUUCAGUCUGUUUUUUAAUUUUGUUUAAUGCAAAUUUAUUGCUGAAAAUUGUGGCAACAAAGAAUUUUAGUAAAUAAGAGUAUCAUGCCUAAAUUAUGACGUCUGCCUUGCCUAGGAUGAGCUUUAGCAUUUGAAGUCUAUAUAAGUUCUUCUGAAAGCUUCAAGAUUUGUUAAGAAGCUCUCUGCAUUCACGCAAUGUUAUCUACUUCUGAAAUGCAUCUAUGCAGUGCUAAAUUAAAUAAAUGUAAUAAUUCCUUCCAAUUGAACAAUUUCCCAACUAUUGUAGGAAAAGCAAGAAAUAUUUUCAUAGUUUUAUAAAAUGAAACUUACUUUUUAAAGGCAGAUGAGCACCAUGUUUUGAAAUAGUCUUACUAGGCAACCAUGCAUGGUGUCUAAAUCAGAGUAAAUUCAUCAUAAAUACUGUUCUAUGGAUAGUGAUGUGAGAUGGGCAACUCUCAAGGAUUAUUCUCACUACCUGAAGUCUUCUGUAAAAUACAUGUCCCUCUCUACCAAUCGAGGGGAUGUAAUGCAUUUAGCUUAGUUCCUGUUGCCUAAAGUCGAGUGGGCUUAAUACAUACUUGGUGAAUGUUCAGUCAAUGUAUAAAACUGGCGAUACCUGAAUAUAAUUGUAAAGAGAUAAAAACGUAUUUAAACUUUGUGUCAUCUGUAGUCUUACUGACAUAGAUAGGGUUUUAUGGGAAAUACAGUCCUGCUAAUCAUGAACUGGAUAAUAUUUCAAAAUUCAGACUUGCAUUAGCAAAUUUCUUUCAAAAACUUAAUAUUACAGAAAAAAAACCUCUUAAGUUCUCUUUCAAAAACAAUUUUGUUUUGUUGCUAGCAAGUGCUCAUGAAAGUUUCUGUACAACCAAGUUUAGUUUAUCUAGUUAUAUCUGUAAUAAUAUAUAUUUCCUGUUUGUUUUUCUGUUAGAUUUACAUGACUGAAUACGUGGUUCAUUGAACAGCUUUCAGGAUUGAUGUGACAGCAGACCUUUGUAUCAGAAAGGGGUUUUUCUCUGCAUCUUUUUUUGCUGUUAUACAUUGAUUAAAAUCCCAUGCAGAUGCUGUAAUAAGAAAUCAAUUUCCUUGCUUUUUGGUUACAUUUUCUUAUAAAAGAAAUUCCUGUUUAUUCAACAAAUUGCAUUUAAUUAAAUGAGCAGAUUAAGUUUGUAUUUUAUUUCCUUUCAUUACAUAUUCCUUUGUUCUUAAUAAUAUUUUUAGCCAUCAAUUUUUUUGUUUGCAUACACUUUAUGGAGCCCAGUGGUUGACCUUCACACCCAAGAUGAAAUGGAAUAAGUGUCUUUGUUAUGCUGAAGGCAAAGUAUAAAAAACAUAUAGGAAAAUGUUGUCAUCCCUUGCCUAUUAAAUUUGCAGAUGUGACAGGAUAUUCAGAACAAUAACUGCAUGUGAUUUAUCAGUAGUGACUGCUGACUGCCACAGUUUAAUUUGCUACACCAACACCCAAAAUGCUACUGUAAAACAUAAACCUUUUGUUUUGCAUUCCUCCCUUUGACAGAAACUGAUUUAAUUGACUAGUGUGUCCCAUGUGUUAUCUUCAUUCCAAAUUCCUUGCUGGAAAAAUAUAGUGCAAUUGUGAAAAACUUUCUGACCCUUCUAAAUAUGACAAGUAUAGAAUCUCUAGCCAUUUAACAUAUACUUCUGCUUUCAGCAUACUUUCCCAAAUAAAGACUGUAUUUCUGAAUAUCAAAUGUAUUACUUAUGUAGAGUAAAAAGUAACAAAUCUUCUCACUUUGCAGAAAAACCCCACCUAUUAUCCAAAUUACUUUAUCAUUAUUUAAUAUAUAUAAUUUUAUCUUUCUUUUUUGCUAGUAAGAAUAAGAUUUGCAUGCCAGAAAUAUACCUUUACAUAUAUAAUA